UGGCGGACGGGUGAGUAAUGUCUGGGAAACUGCCUGAUGGGGGGGGAUAACUACUGGAAACGGUAGCUAAUACCGCAUAACGUCGCAAGACCAAAGAGGGGGACCUUCGGGCCUCUUGCCAUCGGAUGUGCCCAGAUGGGAUUAGCUAGUAGGUGGGGUAACGGCCCACCUAGGCGACGAUCCCUAGCUGGUCUGAGAGGAUGACCAGCCACACUGGAACUGAGACACGGUCCAG
rnacentral:rRNA from 1 species